ACCUGGGUGGCUCAGUGGGUUGGGCGUCUGACUUCAGCGCAGGUCAUGAUCUCACAGUACGUGGGUUCGAGCCCCACGUCAGGCU
rnacentral:tRNA from 1 species